GACGAACGCUGGCGGCGUGCUUAACACAUGCAAGUCGAACGGAAAGGCCCUGCUUGCAGGGUACUCGAGUGGCGAACGGGUGAGUAACACGUGGGUGAUCUGCCCUGCACUUCGGGAUAAGCCUGGGAAACUGGGUCUAAUACCGGAUAGGAGCCAUUUUUAGUGUGAUGGUUGGAAAGUUUUUUCGGUGUAGGAUGAGCUCGCGGCCUAUCAGCUUGUUGGUGGGGUAAUGGCCUACCAAGGCGGCGACGGGUAGCCGGCCUGAGAGGGUGGACGGCCACAUUGGGACUGAGAGACGGCCCAGACUCCUACGGGAGGCAGCAGUGGGGAAUAUUGCACAAUGGGCGCAAGCCUGAUGCAGCGACGCCGCGUGGGGGAUGACGGGCUUCGGGUUGUAAACUCCUUUCGCUAGGGACGAAGCUUUUUGUGACGGUACCUAGAUAAGAAGCACCGGCUAACUACGUG
rnacentral:rRNA from 1 species